rnacentral:lncRNA from 1 species
GAUUCAUUUGAAUACCUCAUGGGUGUGGCAAAAAAAUCAACCUAAAACCUUAAUUAGGCAUCCCUAUUUCUAGUAUGAUCUCAAAACAUAGAAAAUUCACAAUCCAUCAUCAUCUUUAAGACAAUGUGAAGGUAUAAACUAACAUCUACUUUAUUAUUCAAAAAUACUUGUCACCCACCUCCCUCUUUCAAGGAUGAUGUAGGAUCUAAGGAAAUACCUGCAUACUUCUUUCAAGGAUGAUGUGGAAUUUAUGGAAAUUGGAGCUUUCACCUAGAAAUUCCAAUUUGUCAAUCAUGUACUAGUGAAACCCAAUAUCAUUAACAAAGAAUUCAUACUAACAAUCAAGACCCACACACAUUUUCACCAUAUUCAAACAUAACCCCAAGAAUACUAUUAAGCUACUCAUGAGAAUUGAGACAAGAAAUAUACCCAAAUUGGCAUUCAAUGCCUCCAUUGAUGCAAAGCAAGAAUACUAUCAAAUCAAAUUCCAAAUUGUAACUAAAAAUCUCUUAAUGCCAAUAAUAAUGGUUCUUUCUCAAUCCAGAAGGGUUUUUCACCAUACAAAACUUGAAUUCAAGUAAGAAGAUGCCUCAAAAGUGCAAGGGUUGUUCUCUUUUGAAAAUUAGAAGCAGCUGUAUGAAUUGACAAGUUGGCCCUUGGGAUAAUUCCACACCACCACAAUCGGCAUUAGUUGAUAGUAAUUGUGACGCUCGUGAUCACAUUAAGCUAUUGCGAUCACCUAUCUUUGAUCGGGCCUUAACGGUCGUGAUUACAGCCCUCAGACCGUGAUCGUAGUAACUGAGGUCAAUCCCAGCUCUAGAUUUUUAAGCUUUUACACAAACUUUGCCCUUUUUGUUCACUUUUCAGAUUACUUCACUUGGUUUCCUCUAAUUACGUAUAAAUCAGUAACCAUGGGUAUUAGUGCAUUCAAAUGGAAAUUUC